rnacentral:rRNA from 1 species
GAUGAACGCUGGCGGCGUGCCUAAUACAUGCAAGUCGAGCGAACAGACGAGGAGCUUGCUCCUCUGACGUUAGCGGCGGACGGGUGAGUAACACGUGGAUAACCUACCUAUAAGACUGGGAUAACUUCGGGAAACCGGAGCUAAUACCGGAUAAUAUAUUGAACCGCAUGGUUCAAUAGUGAAAGACGGUUUUGCUGUCACUUAUAGAUGGAUCCGCGCCGCAUUAGCUAGUUGGUAAGGUAACGGCUUACCAAGGCAACGAUGCGUAGCCGACCUGAGAGGGUGAUCGGCCACACUGAAACUGAGACACGGUCCAGACUCCUACGGGAGGCAGCGGUAGGGAAUCUUCCGCAAUGGGCAAAGCUUGACGGAGCAACGCCGCGUGAGUGAUGAAGGUCUUCGGAUCGUAAAACUCUGUUAUUAGGGAAGAACAAAUGUGUAAGUAACUAUGCACGUCUUGACGGUACCUAAUCAGAAAGCCACGGCUAACUACGUG